AUUGAACGCUGGUGGCAUGCUUUACACAUGCAAGUCGAACGGCAGCACGAAAGAGCUUGCUCUUUUGGUGGCGAGUGGCGAACGGGUGAGUAAUGCAUCGGAACGUACCGAGUCAUGGGGGAUAACUGUCCGAAAGGAUAGCUAAUACCGCAUACGCUUUGAGAAGGAAAGUGGGGGCUCUUCGGACCUCACGUUAUUCGAGCGGCCGAUGUCUGAUUAGCUAGUUGGUGGGGUAAAGGCCUACCAAGGCGACGAUCAGUAGCGGGUCUGAGAGGAUGAUCCGCCACACUGGGACUUGGACACGGCCCAGACUCCUACGGGAGGCAGCAGUGGGGAAUUUUGGACAAUGGGCGCAAGCCUGAUCCAGCCAUGCCGCGUGUCUGAAGAAGGCCUUCGGGUUGUAAAGGACUUUUGUUAGGGAAGAAAAGGAUAGUGUUAAUACCAUUAUCUGCUGACGGUACCUAAAGAAUAAGCACCGGCUAACUACGUG
rnacentral:rRNA from 1 species